GACGAACGCUGGCGGCGUGCUUAACACAUGCAAGUCGAACGGAAAGGCCCUGCUUUUGUGGGGUGCUCGAGUGGCGAACGGGUGAGUAACACGUGAGUAACCUGCCCUUGACUUUGGGAUAACUUCAGGAAACUGGGGCUACUACCGGAUAGGAGCUCCUGCUGCAUGGUGGGGGUUGGAAAGUUUCGGCGGUUGGGGAUGGACUCGCGGCUUAUCAGCUUGUUGGUGGGGUAGUGGCUUACCAAGGCUUUGACGGGUAGCCGGCAUGGGAGGGUGACCGGGCACAUGGGGACUGAGAGACGGCCCAGACGGCUACGGGAGGCAGCGGUGGGGAAUAUUGCACAAUGGGCGGAAGCCUGAUGCAGCAACGCCGCGUGCGGGAUGACGGCCUUCGGGUUGUAAACCGCUUUCGCCUGUGACGAAGCGUGAGUGACGGUAAUGGGUAAAGAAGCACCGGCUAACUACGUG
rnacentral:rRNA from 1 species